rnacentral:rRNA from 1 species
UACGAAGGGUGCAAGCGUUACUCGGAAUUACUGGGCGUAAAGGGUGCGUAGGUGGUUGUUUAAGUCUGUUGUGAAAGCCCCGGGCUCAACCUGGGAAUGGCAAUGGAUACUGGACAGCUAGAGUGCGGUAGAGGGUAGUGGAAUUCCCGGUGUAGCAGUGAAAUGCGUAGAUAUCGGGAGGAACACCAGUGGCGAAGGCGGCUGCCUGGACCCGGCCUGACGCUGAGGCGCGAAAGCGGUGGGGAGCGAUCCGG